AACGAACGCUGGCGGCAUGCCUAACACAUGCAAGUCGAACGAGACCUUCGGGUCUAGUUGCGCACGGGUGCGUAACGCGUGGGAACCUGCCCUUAGGUUCGGAAUAACUCCCCGAAAGGGGUGCUAAUACCGGAUAAUGUCUUCGGACCAAAGAUUUAUCGCCUUUGGAUGGGCCCGCGUUGGAUUAGCUAGUUGGUAGGGUAAAAGCCUACCAAGGAGACGAUCCAUAGCUGGUCUGAGAGGAUGAUCAGCCACACUGGGACUGAGACACGGCCCAGACUGCUACGGGAGGAAGCAGUGGGGAAUAUUGGACAAUGGGGGAAAGCCUGAUCCCGCAAUGUCGCGUGAGUGAUGAAGGCCUUAGGGUUGUACAGCUCUUUUACCCGGGAUGAUAAUGACAGUACCGGGAGAAUAAGCUCCGGCUAACUCCGUG
rnacentral:rRNA from 1 species